rnacentral:rRNA from 1 species
UACGAGGGGGGCGAGCGUUGUUCGGAAUUACUGGGCGUAAAGAGUGUGUAGGCGGUGCUCUAAGUUCGGUGUGAAAUCUCCCGGCUUAACUGGGAGGGUGCGCCGGAAACUGGAGUGCUCGAACGUGGGAGAGGAAAGCGGAAUUCCCGGUGUAGCGGUGAAAUGCGUAGAUAUCAGGAGGAACACCGGUGGUGUAAACGGCUUUCUGGACCAUAACUGACGCUGAGGCACGAAAGCGUGGGUAGCAAACAGG